UGCAGAGUCUGUGCGCUAAGGAGAUGCAAGGCCAUUUGUAGAGGAAGCUGUACUGCAAGUAUCUGACUGGGGUUUCAACUUAUCUGACAUCCAAAUGCAGAAGAAAGAGGCUCAAAGACUUAUCUGACAUCCAAAUAUGGCAGGGGACAUAACUCCUCCAACUGGGAUUAGGCAGGCUAUGGAGAUGCAGGCUGAAGUAGAAAGGAGAAAAUGCGCUCAAGUCCUUGAAUCAGAAGGGAAGAAACAAGCCCAAAUCCUUGAAUUAGAAGGGAAGAAAACUGCCCAGAUCUUUGAAUCUGAAGGUGACGACUUCAUAACCCUUUUUAUCUUUUAGCUCAAUCAGGAGUUCACAGUGCCAGGUCUUCAUUUGAGCAAGCUCAUUUCAAUCUGGUGCAUAAUCUCUCCUUUUUUGAAUUAGAAUGCAUCACACUCAGUUAUUGAAUUAUGCAAUUACAGAUAACCCCUCCUUUCCUUUCCAUUAUUUGAAUUUGACAAAGGUUGCUUAGAUCAUUCCCUCUUUUUUGCAGGUUCUUUCCAUUCUCUGAAUUAUGUGAACGGAUCCAAGAACACUAAAAUAGUUGUCCUGUCCAUCUUUGCUUGAUUAUAUGAUAGCUCCACUACUAACUCAAACUGCUACUGCUUAGCCACUACUACCUACUAACUGAAGCCACUGCUAACUGAAGCCUCUAACACAAAUGCCUUGAGACUACCAGAGAGAAAGUAGGAGCUGACAUUUCUCACACUGGUCAGGCAUUUCCAUUGAAUUUUACUCUAUAUUCAGAAGUUUUUUUUCCUGGGCUCACAAAGAGCAGAAGACAUUUCUUAAUGAGCUCCAAAAGAAAACACCACCAGAAAGAUGAUAUUUUAUUAAACACAUGCCCACACAAAAGAACUUCAUAUGUACCUCAUCCCUAUAUGGCAACAAUGAUGUGGCUAACCCUGAAAUUCAUGCUGUUUUUUGACCAUAUCCUAGCAAAAAAACAUCACUAUUUCUGAUCGGAUGGCAGAUGUCUCUCAGGCAGGCAAAUGGUUGUCGGAUUGUAUGCAAUCAUCCAAAUUCGAUCUUAUUCUCUUCACGACCUAGAGUCUACAGAGUCACUUCAUUAUCUGUUAUUGUAUAACAACCGUUGCUUAAGAUACUUCAAAGAGCACAAAUACAUUUUUUUUCUGAUGCUGCUGCAUUUCUUGUUUAUGGCAAGGGCAGAUGCUGAGAGAUGUUCCCUUUCAUCCCAGGUUGUCCUACAAAUAGUUUUGAUGAGGAUAUAAUCUUAUACUGCCAGUCUGUUGGAAGUGGUCCAACCAUUGAUCUUGCUUCACAAUUGCCAGACUUGCGAGCCGUGGUUUUGCAACUAUUUUAUCUGGACUAAGAUUAAUAUAUCCAGUCAAGCGAACAUUUUGGUUUGACAUUUACAAGAAGCAGCCACAAGGAAAUGCGAAGGUUCUAGAGGAGGAAAGGAAUAAUAUUUUCAGUCUCCAGGCAAAAAAUGACGAAGUCAGUCCAUCUUUUCAAGCACUACAUUACAUUUUAUAGCCUAUAGAGUAAAUGUGAUCUGAAAUUUUUUUUUGUCCUUACUCUUCUAUUUGUAUGCUAUCUCUGAAAUUACUUGCAGCUGUGUUGUGCAGUAGUAGGAACUUUUUUAGGUUCUGGAAGGUCAGGGUGAGUUGGCUCGGGUUCAGUCGGUGAUCUUGUUUUCUCACACAUGGCUUGUGGUUGCUGGGAUGGACUUCCACGAACUGAUCGAGAUCCCACAUGGCGACCGACGACGGUACCACGACGACGUAUCUGUCAUUGUAAUAUCCUUGGAGGGCAGGAUCUGGAGGUCAUGCGUGUAAAUAGGUCGGCCAUACUGGAUUAGAGAAGAAACGUAUAUAUCUGUAGAUAGAGAGAGAGAGAGAGGUUAUUGAAGGCCUAUUCCAUUACUCCCAGCUGCUCCUGUAGACAGAUUCAAACUUGGGCUUCUACGAUUCACAUGUGUGGUAAUGCAUCAGUUAUAUCAAAAUUUAUGUUUU